AUUGAACGCUGGCGGCAUGCCUUACACAUGCAAGUCGAACGGUAACAGGUCUUCGGAUGCUGACGAGUGGCGAACGGGUGAGUAAUACAUCGGAACGUGCCCGAUCGUGGGGGAUAACGAAGCGAAAGCUUUGCUAAUACCGCAUACGAUCUACGGAUGAAAGCAGGGGACCGCAAGGCCUUGCGCGAACGGAGCGGCCGAUGGCAGAUUAGGUAGUUGGUGGGAUAAAAGCUUACCAAGCCGACGAUCUGUAGCUGGUCUGAGAGGACGACCAGCCACACUGGGACUGAGACACGGCCCAGACUCCUACGGGAGGCAGCAGUGGGGAAUUUUGGACAAUGGGCGCAAGCCUGAUCCAGCAAUGCCGCGUGCAGGAUGAAGGCCUUCGGGUUGUAAACUGCUUUUGUACGGAGCGAAAAGGCUUCCACUAAUACUGGAGGCUCAUGACAGUACCGUAAGAAUAAGCACCGGCUAACUACGUGCCAGCCGCCGCCGUAAGAC
rnacentral:rRNA from 1 species